UACGAACUGUGCGAACGUUAUUCGGAAUCACUGGGCUUACAGGGUGCGUAGGCGGCCUUUCAAGUCAGGUGUGAAAUCCCCCAGCUCAACUGGGGAACUGCGCUUGAAACUGGAGGGCUGGAGUCAGCUAGAGGUGCAUGGAACUUCCGGUGGAGCGGUGAAAUGUGUUGAUAUCGGAAGGAACACCAGAGGCGAAAGCGAUGCACUGGGGCUGUUCUGACGCUGAGGCACGAAAGCCAGGGGAGCGAACGGG
rnacentral:rRNA from 1 species